UGCAGUCGAGCGGCAGCGGAAAGUAGCUUGCUACUUUGCCGGCGAGCGGCGGACGGGUGAGUAAUGUCUGGGGAUCUGCCCGAUGGAGGGGGAUAACUACUGGAAACGGUAGCUAAUACCGCAUAACGUCGCAAGACCAAAGUGGGGGACCUUCGGGCCUCACACCAUCGGAUGAACCCAGAUGGGAUUAGCUAGUAGGUGGGGUAACGGCUCACCUAGGCGACGAUCCCUAGCUGGUCUGAGAGGAUGACCAGCCACACUGGAACUGAGACACGGUCCAGACUCCUACGGGAGGCAGCAGUGGGGAAUAUUGCACAAUGGGCGCAAGCCUGAUGCAGCCAUGCCGCGUGUGUGAAGAAGGCCUUCGGGUUGUAAAGCACUUUCAGCGGGGAGGAAGGGGUGAGCGUUAAUAGCGCUUAUCAUUGACGUUACCCGCAGAAGAAGCACCGGCUAACUCCGUGCCAGCAGCCGCGGUAAUACGGAGGGUGCGAGCGUUAAUCGGAAUUACUGGGCGUAAAGCGUACGCAGGCGGUUUGUUAAGUCAGAUGUGAAAUCCCCGAGCUUAACUCGGGAACUGCAUUUGAAACUGGCAGGCUAGAGUCUCGUAGAGGGGGGUAGAAUUCCAGGUGUAGCGGUGAAAUGCGUAGAGAUCUGGAGGAAUACCGGUGGCGAAGGCGGCCCCCUGGACGAAGACUGACGCUCAGGUACGAAAGCGUGGGGAGCAAACAGGAUUAGAUACCCUGGUAGUCCACGCUGUAAACGAUGUCGAUUUGAAGGUUGUGGCCUUGAGCCGUGGCUUUCGGAGCUAACGCGUUAAAUCGACCGCCUGGGGAGUACGGCCGCAAGGUUAAAACUCAAAUGAAUUGACGGGGGCCCGCACAAGCGGUGGAGCAUGUGGUUUAAUUCGAUGCAACGCGAAGAACCUUACCUACUCUUGACAUCCAGAGAACUUGGCAGAGAUGCCUAGGUGCCUUCGGGAACUCUGAGACAGGUGCUGCAUGGCUGUCGUCAGCUCGUGUUGUGAAAUGUUGGGUUAAGUCCCGCAACGAGCGCAACCCUUAUCCUUUGUUGCCAGCAAGU
rnacentral:rRNA from 1 species